GUUUUUGGGGUCUCUUCCUCAACACGAGCAAUACUUCACCUUACGCUCUCCUGGACUCUGAUUGCACGCCGGCACACUUCUCCUUCUUGCAGAUCAUCGCACUGGUUCUCCUCUCGGUCAUAACAGUUCUGAUGACCUUCGUAGUCGUCACGACGGUGCUGCAGCAAUAUUUCCGCUCACCCAUACUCUCUGUCCGGAUCAGAGAAGCCUUCAGAAUAGACACCACGAUUAUCCAAGGAGUCUCGCAGUCGUCGUCUACCCAAAUCUUGACCGAGAGUGUGAAGGACCAGGUCAUCACGUGAACCUCCAGGACGCCAUUGAGAAAACGUCUCAUCUUUUUCUCCGGAUUUGAACGACGUCUCCGGACCUCUCGGUGUCGCCUCACCUGUUGCUGGGGAUAAAGGGAUUGUAGCCCGGGUCUUCUUCGGGUCUACGUGUCCUGCCUGGCCGCUUGCUAGUCAGAGCGCUUCAUCAGCUGUCGCUUCGAUGUGUGUGAAGAGGUCCUGGGUGUUGUACGCAUCGUCUCUAAUCACAUACGUAUUUUCUCGCUGGACUUCCGUUGAAAAAAAAAAUUGCUCGUAUUUCUUUUCUCACUUUCUGAUAUGUGAUAUUUACUACUCUGGGAAUAGGUGAAGCGCUGACAUCGUAAGAAUUUGCCAGAGUAGGUGUAGCGAUAACGUGAUUAUUAUUAUAAGCUAUUUAAUGUGACUUGGAAAGAUCCGUUCCAGAACACAAGCGGCGUCAGUGAACUUGAGAGCAAAGAUGUCUAUGACCCGUGGGUACUUUAUAGAAAACGGUUAUUCAGUAUUAAAGAAUAUCAGAAGUUUGAUUGACAGUAAAAAUGUGAUGUACGUAUUUUUCGGUUUGUAUUACGGGGAACCCUGAUUUUGCUGUAUAAACGAAAUAUUAGGCAAGUUUACGGUUAGAUUUUAGAAACGCUGCCUAUAAUGCGUUCAGUUACUGUUAUAUAACCAGAUGCAAUUCAUAGUCUAUUAACUUUGUGUAUUUCUAUUAAUAUAUGUAGAGAGAGUUAAUCAUCGGACAUUAGAAUGCUUAAUGUUUAUUUAAAAAAACAACACAUUUUACGCAUAUGCAUAUUUAUGUAUAACCCAUGACAGUGUAACUAUCACACCCAGCUACGUUGAUACUGUUUGACACCAAUGCACAGAUGUUUCGUUGUAAAUCCUCGAUGAAGUUAGGAGUAAAACGCUUCUCCCAAUGUCAGUCUUAUUCGGGUAUUGCUGCUGUAUUGAAGUUUGUCCACACGAACGGGUAUGAUCGGCGGGAACUUUUAAAUUCGCCUCAACCCGCACGCGCCCUUGUGCCACAGUUCGGCGAGCUGUGUCCCAACACUGGGCUACUAAGUAUGCGUGCAAAAUUGCAUUGUUGAUCACAUGGUGAAUUGGUGUCGGUGAUGGUUAAUACUGUAGGUUCUGAUUGAAAUAUAAUGACAAGAACAAACAAUAAUGAAAAUUCAAUACCUGUUGGAUGGGCAGUGUAUGGUAAUUCUGAAGAGCAGCCAACACGGGCACCGUACCGGGUUGCCCGCGUGCCAACCCCAUUAACAUACAAAACUGCUUGUGUGGAAGGGCCUUUACUUAGUGUAGAUCUUGCUAGUAUUACUAUUAUAGCAACUUAUUUUUGAGCUAGAUAGUUAUGAUGGCAUGAUUUCUUGCUUGGUUAUUUACAGCUUUCCAUGUAAAGGAACUUUUUUUAACCGUCACUGCAUGUAAAAGGCACCCGAUGCUCUUUUUAUGAAUUAUUAAUUUAUAAUUUGUGAUCGUUAGGUAUUUGAAGGGACACUUUUAUAUCCCUUUGGCUCAGCUUAUAGGUUCGCAGAAUAUAAACAAUAUAAGUUGUGCUGACAAUACAGCAUACUUGUUUGUGCUACUGUGUUCACUGUAUAGCGAGAAAACAAGUAGGACAGCAUACACCGUGGAAUAUAUUGAAACUUCCCGAGUGCUUGUGUAAAGUCCGAACGCCAGCUUGUAAACGAGACAAACCAGUUUCUUCAAUGUUUUAUCAGAACCCGGGAGAUGUACACCAGGAAUAUGCUGGAUGUGAGAACUGUUAAACCAAGCUUUAUUAUGUAUUUAGUCCGAUUAUGCUAUACUAGAUAAUAAUGAAAAGUUUCUUCCCUAUGUUUUAUCAGAACCGAUUUCUAUCUCUACAUAAUACCUCACAUGUCUGAAAUAAAGUAUUGUGUACUUUAUAAUUUGUUCCAAGUUGUGGAAAUGCACACAAAUAAAUAAAAUUAUUAUAACUGA